GAUGAACGCUGGCGGCGUGCCUAAUACAUGCAAGUCGAGCGAACAGACGAGGAGCUUGCUCCUCUGACGUUAGCGGCGGACGGGUGAGUAACACGUGGAUAACCUACCUAUAAGACUGGGAUAACUUCGGGAAACCGGAGCUAAUACCGGAUAAUAUAUUUAACCGCAUGGUUCAAUAGUGAAAGACGGUUUUGCUGUCACUUAUAGAUGGAUCCGCGCCGCAUUAGCUAGUUGGUAAGGUAACGGCUUACCAAGGCAACGAUGCGUAGCCGACCUGAGAGAGUGAUCGGCCACACGGGAACUGAGACACGGUCCAGACACCUACGGGAGGCAGCAGUAGGGAAUCUUCCGCAAUGGGCGAAAGCGUGACGGAGCAACGCCGCGUGAGUGAUGAAGGUCUUCGGAUCGUAGAACUCUGUUAUUAGGGAAGAACAAAUGUGUAAGUAACUAUGCACGUCUUGACGGUACCUAAUCAGAAAGCCACGGCUAACUACGUG
rnacentral:rRNA from 1 species